rnacentral:rRNA from 1 species
UACAGAGGGUGCGAGCGUUAAUCGGAAUUACUGGGCGUAAAGCGUGCGUAGACGGCUAUCUAAGUCGGGUGUGAAAGCCCCGGGCUCAACCUGGGAAUUGCAUUCGAGACUGAAUAGCUAGGGUACGGUAGAGGGAAGUGGAAUUUCCGGUGUAGCGGUGAAAUGCGUAGAUAUCGGAAGGAACAUCAGUGGCGAAAGCGACUCCUGGACCAGUACCGACGUCAGGCACGAAAGCGUGGGGAGCAAAGCAGGA